CGGGAUAGCUCAGCUGGUAGAGCAGAGGACUGAA
rnacentral:tRNA from 7 species